CUAUCAUGCAGUCGAGCGGACAGAUGGGAGCUUGCUCCCUGAUGUUAGCGGCGGACGGGUGAGUAACACGUGGGUAACCUGCCUGUAAGACUGGGAUAACUCCGGGAAACCGGGGCUAAUACCGGAUGGUUGUUUGAACCGCAUGGUUCAGACAUAAAAGGUGGCUUCGGCUACCACUUACAGAUGGACCCGCGGCGCAUUAGCUAGUUGGUGAGGUAACGGCUCACCAAGGCGACGAUGCGUAGCCGACCUGAGAGGGUGAUCGGCCACACUGGGACUGAGACACGGCCCAGACUCCUACGGGAGGCAGCAGUAGGGAAUCUUCCGCAAUGGACGAAAGUCUGACGGAGCAACGCCGCGUGAGUGAUGAAGGUUUUCGGAUCGUAAAGCUCUGUUGUUAGGGAAGAACAAGUGCCGUUCAAAUAGGGCGGCACCUUGACGGUACCUAACCAGAAAGCCACGGCUAACUACGUGCCAGCAGCCGCGGUAAUACGUAGGUGGCAAGCGUUGUCCGGAAUUAUUGGGCGUAAAGGGCUCGCAGGCGGUUUCUUAAGUCUGAUGUGAAAGCCCCCGGCUCAACCGGGGAGGGUCAUUGGAAACUGGGGAACUUGAGUGCAGAAGAGGAGAGUGGAAUUCCACGUGUAGCGGUGAAAUGCGUAGAGAUGUGGAGGAACACCAGUGGCGAAGGCGACUCUUGGUCUGUAACUGACGCUGAGGAGCGAAAGCGUGGGGAGCGAACAGGAUUAGAUACCCUGGUAGUCCACGCCGUAAACGAUGAGUGCUAAGUGUUAGGGGGUUUCCGCCCCUUAGUGCUGCAGCUAACGCAUUAAGCACUCCGCCUGGGGAGUACGGUCGCAAGACUGAAACUCAAAGGAAUUGACGGGGGCCCGCACAAGCGGUGGAGCAUGUGGUUUAAUUCGAAGCAACGCGAAGAACCUUACCAGGUCUUGACAUCCUCUGACAAUCCUAGAGAUAGGACGUCCCCUUCGGGGGCAGAGUGACAGGUGGUGCAUGGUUGUCGUCAGCUCGUGUCGUGAGAUGUUGGGUUAAGUCCCGCAACGAGCGCAACCCUUGAUCUUAGUUGCCAGCAUUCAGUUGGGCACUCUAAGGUGACUGCCGGUGACAAACCGGAGGAAGGUGGGGAUGACGUCAAAUCAUCAUGCCCCUUAUGACCUGGGCUACACACGUGCUACAAUGGACAGAACAAAGGGCAGCGAAACCGCGAGGUUAAGCCAAUCCCACAAAUCUGUUCUCAGUUCGGAUCGCAGUCUGCAACUCGACUGCGUGAAGCUGGAAUCGCUAGUAAUCGCGGAUCAGCAUGCCGCGGUGAAUAGCGUUCCCGGGCCUUGUACACACCGCCCGUCACACCACGAGAGUUUGUAACACCCGAAGUCGGUGAGGUAACCUUUAUGGAGCCAGCCGCCGAAGG
rnacentral:rRNA from 1 species